AAUAUUGGACAAUGGGCGAAAGCCUGAUCCAGCCAUGCCGCGUGUGUGAAGAAGGUCNNNGGAUUNUNAAGCACAUUAAGUUGNGANNAAGGGCAGUAAGUUAAUACCUUGCUGUUUUGACGUUACCGACAGAAUAAGCACAGGCUAACUUCGUGCCAGCAGCCGCGGUAAUACGAAGGGUGCAAGCGUUAAUCGGAAUUACUGGGCGUAAAGCGGGCGUAGGUGGUUUGAUAAGUUGGAUGUGAAAGCCCCGGGCUCAACCUGGGAAUUGCAUCCAAAACUGUCUGACUAGAGUAUGGCAGAGGGUGGUGGAAUUUCCUGUGUAGCGGUGAAAUGCGUAGAUAUAGGAAGGAACACCAGUGGCGAAGGCGACCACCUGGGCUAAUACUGACACUGAGGUGCGAAAGCGUGGGGAGCAAACAGG
rnacentral:rRNA from 1 species